rnacentral:misc_RNA from 1 species
UUUGUGUACGCCAUCAAUGCAUCCAACGCCGCCAUCAUCUCAGCUCUACGAUUAUUUCCCGCCGAAAACCACGACUGGGAGGACAUUGCUGUAGGUCCCUGUGGAAAAAGCAGCUGUAUAUAUAUCGGGGAUAGCCAAAGUCACAAAAUCUACAGGGUGGAGGAACCCGAGUUCGUUUACUCCGAUCAAAUUCUUACAGAUGUCGCAGCGGUUCAGAUAGAAUGGUCUCAUGGCUUCGACACCGUUAUGGUGGACCAACAUGGCGACGUAUACAUAGUACAAAGUCACACCAGCCAUCACCGCCAGGUCGGACGAUUACCGCACGACCAAUGGAACAGCACCCACGUGGUACAUUUACACACAAUCCAUCUUCCUGAUUUACACCUGCCCGACAACAGUCCCACUUCCGGUGAUAUUUCGCCAGAUGGCACCCAGAUAGUUCUCCUGUCACUGCACAAAGUUCACUACUGGAUAGUUUCUCAUGGUGACAAUGUACUGGAUACACUACAACAUCACCCCAUCGCUUCACUACCUACUAGACCCGUUGGGGCGACAGAGGGAAUCUGCUGGGACACUAAUGGACGUAAUUAUUACGAAGUAGCCGAGCGUUCUUCGUCAUCAUCACCCGCAUCUGUCCAUAUUUAUAAUCGUGUAUAAAUAUUAGCAAUUGAAAUAAAAACACGCAUGGUU